UUGGCGGAGCCGAUAUCGAUCUUUAAACGACCAGGUGAUAGGUCAAAAAAAAAUGUGUGAGACCAUUGAAUCAAAUGGAGGAUAAAUCGGCAUCGACACUUCUCUUGUUAAAUUGCCCAGAAGUUCAACCUUAUUAUGAUCUCUUUGUGGAGAUACAUGGCCAAGAAAAAGUGCACGACCAAUUUGCAAUGUGGUUUAACAAUUACGUUCGCAAUACACCUUGUGGUUUUUAUGAACAAGUUUUGAAGGACUUAUCUUGGGGACCCAUUGGUGCCGAUUGUAUGGACAAAUAUGUGGUUAAUGGUUUCAAAUUUAAUACCCGAGAAUGUGCUAAACCAUAUGAAAACUAAUAACAGUGGUGUGUGGGUUAAAAGUGUUGAUGGUGUUGAUUUUUUUGGUGUAAUCGAAGAGAUUUUAGAAUUAGAGUAUUCUGGUUGGCCAAAAAAAAAAAAUUGUUCUGUUUCGGUGCAACUGGUUUGAUCCAACCCCAAAAAGAGGCACGAGGGUACUGAAAGAUUCCAAUAUCAUUGAAGUAAAGCACACGCAGAGGUAUGUAGCUUAUGAUCCUUUCGUCAUUGCACAUAACGUCAAGCAGGUGUACUAUGUCCCUUAUCCAUUGCGACCAAAUAAGUCAGAUUGGUGGGUGGUAAUUAAAACCAAGCCUGUUGGUUGCGUGGAAGUUGAGAAUGACCUGUUUGCUGCCUUUCAGAAUGACUACAUAGCACACGUUAACCAAAUAGUCGACCCUAAGUUAGAAAUUGAACUGGAGCAUGUAGAACAUAUAUUAGAAGAAAUCGAUAUAGAAGAACUUAAUGAAGUAUUAGAAUAAAAUGAUGAAAGUGAAACAGGCGAUGAGGAAGAAUGGUCAGACGAGAGAGAAAGUGAUGAAAAUUAGCAUGUUUUUCAUUUUAGAACUAUUAUAUAUGUGUCGUUUUAUUUAUUUGAUUGUAAGACUUAUUAGUAUCCGAAUACUUAAGCUUCCUUUUGUAUUAUGAGUUAUGAUUGUUGUGCACUAUCUGAUAAUUUUAUGAAAUUAUGAAAAAUGAUUGU